CUGAAGGAAAACAUUCAGGGGUCUCUUAACAUAGGCGGUAAAUACACUACACCUCCCUUUUGCCGACAUCUAACAGAAAAGAAUUUCCUUCCAGAAGCAUUAUCACCUUAAACAUUUCCCAGAAUCAAAGGGGGAAAUGAUAGCAACUGACAAGGGAUGAUAAGGGGAUACAAUACGACGACACAGUGAGAUGCCCGGGAUACAGGGCUGCUGAGCAGUGGCGACGAUUCAGGCAAUAGAAAUGAACACACAGG